UGGGGAAUCUUGCGCAAUGGGCGAAAGCCUGACGCAGCGACGCCGCGUGCGGGAGGAAGCUCUUCGGGGUGUAAACCGCUGUCAGGGGGGAAGAACGGACGGGGAGGAAAUGCCCGCGUUUUGACGGUACCUCCAGAGGAAGCACCGGCUAACUCUGUGCCAGCAGCCGCGGUAAUACAGAGGGUGCGAGCGUUGUUCGGAAUUACUGGGCGUAAAGCGCGCGCAGGGCGGGCCCUUUAAGUCCGUCGGUCAAAUGCCGGGGCUCAACCCCGAGCGUGCCGAGGAUACUGGAGGCUGGAGACACGUAGAGGCAAGCGGAAUUCCGGGUGUAGCGGUGGAAUGCGUAGAGAUCCGGAAGAACACCGGAGGCGAAGGCGGCUUGCUGGGCGUGAUCUGACGCUGAGGCGCGAAAAGCGUGGGGAGCGAACAGGAUUAGAUACCCUGGUAGUCCACGCCGUAAACGAUGGGCACUAGACGCUGGUGGGAUCGACCCCUUCGGUGUCGCAGCUAACGCGAUAAGUGCCCCGCC
rnacentral:rRNA from 1 species